ACUUCAUGUUGAAACCAGUGUAGCACAAAACAGAAACACACACGGAAGUCUUGGUUCUUGUUGGCCUGAAGAUGCCUUCAAGAAGCCAGAUUUUACUGCAACUGUGCGAUACAACAACGGAGUUUGGGAAGAUGACGGGAUAAAAGUGGAGGGAGGUGAUGUUUAUGGGGAUGCUGUCACGUUCACUGGUGGUCAGGCUGGUCCACCAUGGAGGGACAAACACUCACAACCAUCUUCCAGCUACCAGAAAAAUCCCUUUCUGACCUGCUCCAGUAAUUCUGGGUCUCCUGUGUCUGCUGCUGUUAGUGGGGAUCAGUGUCCUGUUCAAACUCUCUGUUUUGAAAGAAAAACAACCAAUAACUGAGUUUGAAGAGCCGAUAAGACACAGUUCUGAUAACCUGAGCAGCAGUUUCUGCAGAUUCAAGAAAGAGAAGCAAACAAAGUGGGAGAAAGCAGAAUGGCACAGGAUUGGAUGUCAUUGUUACUACAUGUCUACUGAGAAGAAAAACUGGACUGAGAGCCAGAAAGACUGCGAGAGAAGAGGAGCAACCCUGCUGAUAAUAAACAGCAAACUUAAACACGAACUUUUAACUGAUCUGAUUAAACGUGGAGAUAAUGAAGAUUCCUGGAUUGGUCUGGAAAGAGUAGAAACAAAGGAGUGGAAGAAGAAAUGGC